rnacentral:rRNA from 1 species
CCUACGGGAGGCUGCAGUGAGGGAUAUUGGUCAAUGGCCGGAAGGCUGAACCAGCCAUGCCGCGUGAAGGUCAAUGCCCUAUGGGCGUUAAACUUCUUUUGUGCGGGAGCAAUAAUGGUCACGUGUGGCCAGACGAGAGUACCGUACGAAUAAGCAUCGGCUAACUCCGUGCCAGCAGCCGCGGUAAUACGGGGGAUGCAAGCGUUAUCCGGGUGUAUGGGGUGUAAAAGGUGCGUAGGAUGUGAGUGAAGUCAGCGGUGAAAUGCCCCCGCUCAACGGGGUGAAGUGCCAUUGAUACUGCGUAGCUGGAAUGCGGAUGCCGUGGGAGGAAUGUGUAGUGUAGCGGUGAAAUGCAUAGAUAUCACACAGAACACCGAUUGCGAAGGCAUCUCACGAAUCCGCGAUUGACGCUGAUGCACGAAAGCGUGGGUAUCAAACAGGAUUAGAUACCCGGGUAGUC